rnacentral:lncRNA from 1 species
AGGUAUAUCCAUAUAAACCGAGCUUGUUAUAUAAUGAUACUAAACAAGAUAUAAGAAAUGUGCAUCUUCAAACAAAGUGAGCUAAAAAGACUGCGAUUGAUCAGAUAGGCUGGAUCACGUUUCCUUGAGAAUAUAACUUCAAUAUUACACCAGCAGAGUAUGGUAUAAAAUUCAAUAUACAAUAGACCUAGCAUUUGCAACAAAAGGGAAUGUUUGUAAAGAAUAGUACCUUCUGACUUUUAAACCCACUUAAGAGUCACUGAAUGCAAGACAUUUCUAAAGGUACUUAUGAGAUGUAAGUAUAAAGAAACAAAAUUCCAACCUCAUAAACCAUAGCUUUGUCACAAGUCUUAUCCUUGACAGUGCAGCAACAACUUGAACAACACAUAAUAUAGAACUGAUAUAGACUUUUGACAAGCUUCCUGUUUCUUCAUCUCAGAAUUCAUCAGAGUUGCUUAAUUAAUUAAACAUGAAUUACAGGGAAAGGGAACCAUAAAAUAUAAAGAUACAAUAAUUUUAAUAAUAUUGAACCUCGUAAAUGAUUUCCAACACCACACAAGUCAAACCAAAAAGCCUUGAUGAACCUACUCAUCAUUUUUCUAAUUGAUCGUGUCCUAAUAUCCUCCAUGAAUUGAGCUGGUGAUAAUUUGAAACAUAAGUUUCUUACUGGAUUCACAUUCAAGGAAUAGGAUAAUUGCUGAGCUGUAUGUAAUGGCAGACGCGUCUUUAUGCAGUCUUUAAAUGGCCAUUGGCAUCCUUUAAAUCAUUUUGAUAAUACUCGCAUUUGCUUUUGAAGUUCAGCUUAUGGCUAUCGAUUUAGAGCACAGAGCAGCACCUGAUGCAAUUCUCGAAAAUGUGUGGGCAAAUUUCAUUGCGGGAAGUGCACCAAAGGAUGGAGCAGGAAAUAUGCCUAAUUUCUCUGAGAGUUGGGAUAAACUACCUGGUCUUGAUCGGAAAGAUGGACCCAUGGAACUUCAGAAGAAGAUUCCAAGUCUAGGCAGAUGGGUCUCUAUGGGAACUGAAAGUUGGGAGGAACUUCUUGAUGAUUUCAUACCUGCAAACAAUAUUAAACACACUGGUAAUAUUGAGCCAGAACUCAGCGGGGAAAGUUCAGCAGCAAAACCAAGUGCAGUGAGGGUAGAGAAGGUGACUACCCGGCAUUUCAGAGGGGUGAGGAGGCGACCAUGGGGUAAGUAUGCAGCAGAGAUUAGGGAUUCCUCACGAAAAGG